AAAUGAGAGCGACCGGGACAUCCAAAUGCUCAAAAUCGAUAAAGUUUGGUAAAAGGAAUUACACCAAGCCUAAGAAGAAUCGGCCAAGGUAAAUACCAAAGGACAAUGGCAAAGAGAAUAUAUAAAAUGGAGGGAAGACUAGUAGAACAUGACCAAGGUUUCGAGCAAUAUCUAACAUAUAAAAAUAAGGUAAAAUACUUGGUAUCGAAUUUUUUACACGAUGAGUUAUGAUCCUCCAAAACCAUUCUUUAUUGAUGAAUUCAUAGUGAAAGUGAAAACCGUAACAGAUCAGACGUACAAAAUCGGUGUGUCCUCUUCCACUACAGUUUUACAAUUAAAAUACAAGAUAGAGAGCCGGAUAGAAUUCGCAUUCGCACCAUCGAAAUAAUUCACUGGAAUUUCAGGGCUCAAACCAAACGAACAAGCGCUGACGUUCAAAGGAAUUGCCAUGCAAGACAGCAAAAAAAUGUCUGAUUACGGAGUCCAAGCAGGUGAUACAAUACGUCUUGUCAUGAGAGGAAGAGGAGGCUAAACCUGGAUUCCGAUGGAACUACAAUAUCAAGUCUAGCCAAUAUAAAGGCCAAUAUAAAGCCCGGAGGCCAAUAUAAAGUCAAGAGUGAGAAGAUUUAUGAAUUACGAAUCUAGUGACAUUUUAUGUUUUAUAUUGUUUUAUUGCUUAAGCUUGUAAAGUAUAAGUUUAUGUUCUGUUUUUUCCUUGCACAUAAAGCAUAGAAAGUUGUCUCUCUCUAAGCAUAAGCCUACAGACCAAUGCUGCAUCGCGCAUCCAUAAUAUUGUUAAGCUAACACACAUUAGAAAUCAGCUACUUGUUCAUUGGCCAAAAUUAAAUAUCCAAAUAACAGUAUUUCUGGCAUCUUCGACAUUUUCAUCUCGAGUAUUGCUUCCCAAUAUUUUGGCGAUCAUUUUAGUAGAGGAUUAAGCAUUACCUGCGUUUAUAACAAUUUCGGAUAUUACUGUAUCAGACUAACAUGUGUGCAAAAUCAUAGCAAAAUCAUCAUGUAAUCGGACAAAGAUUAAAACGUCACAUUUUAAAAGCGUUCUUGGAUACGAACUACCUUUGUUGUGUAUGGAAAUUGAAACCAUUAAGUGCAGCUACGCGUACAAAUUCGGGCCCGAUCCUUGUGUGUAAUGUGCUUAUAGCCUGGCGUUAAAGGAUAAUUUAAUGUAAACUUAGAGUUACGGUUUGAGCAAGUUUCAUUCAUUCAGGCGAGCAUUCAGGCCUGAUAUUGGAAAACUUCAAAUCCUGCAAAAUUUUAGCAGCUACUUUUUUAGCACCGAGUUCACGAAAUGCUAAUCCUUGUAAAACAUUAAAUUUUAUUUCCGGAGGAUUGGUUUGCUGUAAGUUUUGAAAAUGUUCAUACUGUCAUCAAAAGAUGCAAAGAGAAACACCGAUCAAUGUGAAAUUGGACUGCCGUUGCCACGGCCGAAAGCUUAAGCAUGAAUUUAGCAUUUUCAUAAAAUGAACAGCAGGCAGUUUCAACAUCAAAAUAUCCUUCUGAGAUUUGUUGCCAGGUUCUGAGCCAGAGCUUUUGUAU